rnacentral:rRNA from 1 species
GAUGAACGCUAGCGAUAGGCUUAACACAUGCAAGUCGAGGGGCAGCACAAGGUAGCUUGCUAUCUGGGUGGCGACCGGCGCACGGGUGCGUAACGCGUAUGCAACUUGCCCUAUACAGGAGGAUAACCCGUCGAAAGACGGACUAAUACUGCGUAUGCUCACAACUUGGCAUCAAGUGGUGAGGAAAGAAAUUCGGUAUAGGAUAGGCAUGCGUCCCAUUAGCUUGUUGGUGAGGUAACGGCUCACCAAGGCAACGAUGGGUAGGGGAACUGAGAGGUUUAUCCCCCACAAUGGUACUGAGACACGGACCAGACUGCUACGGGAGGCAGCAGUGAGGAAUAUUGGUGAAUGGGGGCGAGCCUGAACCAGCCAAGUCGCGUGAAGGAGGACUGUCUUAUGGAUUGUAAGCUUCUUUUAUACGGGAAUAGCAAGAGUAACGUGUGACUCCCUGCAUGUACCGUAUGAAUAAGCAUCGGCUAACUCCGUG